CCCUUAGACGUUCUGGGCCGCACGCGCGCUACACUGACCAGUGCAACAAGCAUCCGUCCUUGGCCGACAGGCCCGGGCAAUCUUUGAACGCUGGUCGUGAUGGGGAUAGACUUUUGCAAUUUUUGGUCUUCAACGAGGAAUGCCUAGUAAACGCAAGUCAUCAACUUGCAUUGAUUACGUCCCUGCCCUUUGUACACACCGCCCGUCGCACCUACCGAUUGAAUGGUCCGGUGAAGCCUCCGGAUUGGCGCGCACCUCGGUGCCGCCGAGAAGUUGGCUAAACCUUACCAUUUAGAGGAAGGUGAAGUCGUAACA
rnacentral:rRNA from 1 species